GCACUCGUGGUUCAGUGGUAGGAUGCUCGACUGCCGCGCAUGCGAUCCGGGUUCGAUUCCCGACCAAUGCG